rnacentral:rRNA from 1 species
AGCAGCCGCGGUAAUUCCAGCUCCAAUAGCGUAUAUUAAAGUUGUUGCAGUUAAAAAGCUCGUAGUUGAAUUUCGGGGUCAGUAGGUUGGUCGUGCCACUGGUAUGCACUGGUCUCACUGAUUCCUCCUUCCUGAUGAGCCGUAAUGCCAUUAAUUUGGUGUUGCGGGGAAUCUGGACUGUUACUUUGAAAAAGUUAGAGUGUUUAAAGCAGGCUAACGCUUGAAUACAUUAGCAUGGAAUAAUGAAAUAGGACGAUCGAUCCUAUUUUGUUGGUUUCUAGGAUUGACGUAAUGAUUAAUAGGGAUAGUUGGGGGCAUUAGUAUUCAAUUGUCAGAGGUGAAAUUCUUGGAUUUAUUGAAGACUAACUACUGCGAAAGCAUUUGCCAAGGAUGUUUUCAUUAAUCAAGAACGAAAGUUAGGGGAUCGAAGACGAUCAGAUACCGUCGUAGUCUUAACCAUAAACUAUGCCGACUAGGGAUCGGAUGAUGUUAAUUUUUAAUGACUCU